rnacentral:rRNA from 1 species
GGAGUGGCGGCAGCCUACCAUGCAAGUCGAGCGGAUGAAGGGAGCUUGCUCCUGGAUUCAGCGGCGGACGGGUGAGUAAUGCCUAGGAAUCUGCCUGGUAGUGGGGGAUAACGUCCGGAAACGGGCGCUAAUACCGCAUACGUCCUGAGGGAGAAAGUGGGGGAUCUUCGGACCUCACGCUAUCAGAUGAGCCUAGGUCGGAUUAGCUAGUUGGUGGGGUAAAGGCCUACCAAGGCGACGAUCCGUAACUGGUCUGAGAGGAUGAUCAGUCACACUGGAACUGAGACACGGUCCAGACUCCUACGGGAGGCAGCAGUGGGGAAUAUUGGACAAUGGGCGAAAGCCUGAUCUAGCCAUGCCGCGUGUGUGAAGAAGGUCUUCGGAUUGUAAAGCACUUUAAGUUGGGAGGAAGGGGAAUAUGAUAGUACCUUGCGGUUUUGACGUUCCGAACGCAAUCCUAACAGGCAAGCUUCUUUGAUUGCCCGCGGCAGCCGAAGGGUUCCUUCCUUUUUUAUUUAUGCGGAUAAAGUACCGAACGGCUGCCUGACAGUUCCGUCAGAUUCGAUUCCUUUCGAACUGACAUGUCAGUACGUGUUGAUCUGAUCGCCCUGCCGUUCCAUUACUGGACAGCUUUAUAUCAGCUCAUACCUUGGAUGGCAUGGGUGUCCUGUUUCACUUGCCCAUAGCAUUAGCAUUGAAGAACGCCUACUCCACCAUGGUCAGACGUAUGAAGCAAUGAUCCUAAAUCUAGUAUUAGAGAUCACGGACUUCGUAAUUUUCAGAAUAAUCAGCUGAUCACUGAUCAUCUGAGCGCAUCGAACUCUGUCAUCUCUUCAUGAUGUUGAUCAUGUCACGCAUACGUUGAUUCCCAUAAUUCCCUCAAGACACUCUUUCAAGCUAUCUCAUCCCAUGGAUACUCUCGAUCACAGUCGAAGAUAAUCUCUGCGAAUACUCCCAAUUUAGUCCGCAUAUUCUCUAUUUUUUCCAUCUUAUUUGCCUUUAAUGAUUUGCUUUCCAUACCACGACAACCCCAGGAAAAUUAUUCCCAGGCCCCUUCUUGUGGAAAUUUUCCUUCCGGGAACAAUUAUUUCAUU